rnacentral:rRNA from 1 species
GACGAACGCUGGCGGCGUGCUUAACACAUGCAAGUCGAACGGUGAAGCAGAGCUUGCUCUGUGGAUCAGUGGCGAACGGGUGAGUAACACGUGAGCAACCUGCCCCGGACUCUGGGAUAAGCGCUGGAAACGGCGUCUAAUACCGGAUACGAGCUGCGAAGGCAUCUUCAGCAGCUGGAAAGAAUUUCGGUCCGGGAUGGGCUCGCGGCCUAUCAGCUUGUUGGUGAGGUAAUGGCUCACCAAGGCGUCGACGGGUAGCCGGCCUGAGAGGGUGACCGGCCACACUGGGACUGAGACACGGCCCAGACUCCUACGGGAGGCAGCAGUGGGGAAUAUUGCACAAUGGGCGAAAGCCUGAUGCAGCAACGCCGCGUGAGGGACGACGGCCUUCGGGUUGUAAACCUCUUUUAGCAGGGAAGAAGCGAAAGUGACGGUACCUGCAGAAAAAGCACCGGCUAACUACGUGCCAGCCGCCGCCGUAAGAC